AUCUUCCCAGACCUCAUCUCCCCAGGACCCCAGGGCGCCAUCUCCCCAGGACCCUGUCUCCCCAGGACCCCGGUCUUAGAGUUCUGCCCAUGACACAGGGACCCCGAGGUGCUGGAAAGGGGACACGACACAGCCUGGGAACACUACUCAACCCUGGGCUGGGCAACUCCAGCCUGACCUCCCACCUGGCUCUAGGGAAGGGAGGCCACCUACAGGGGUGACAGAGCUGGGACCUCACACAGAGCAGCCUGGCCCGGAUUCCAGACACUAACCGGACCUUCCAUUGCCUGAGUCCCAGAGACACUCAGGCUGGGCGGGCCCUGUACCCUCCCUGGGCUCCAUUGGCUCCAGUCUGUCUCCCCCCGGGGCAGCCCACCCUGUUCCCAGUUUUCCUGACGGGAGGGGGUUAGUCCUGCAUGGCCUGCACCUGCUCAGGAGACCACGCCUCCACUCUCAUGGGGGACCCAGAUCCUUCCUUCCCUUCUUGGACCCUCGCACACUUUGGUGGAGAUCUCGAGCUGGAUGUAGGGGUCUUUGCACAUUUUCACUCAGCGUUCCAGAGGCAGACUAGGCAGAGGGGGGCUGUCAUUCCCCCGAGACGACAGGAUCGCCUCCUUCUUACUUCUUGCCUGGGACCGAGGUAGCCUCGAGCUUUUAGAUCAUCGCCACGUCAGCGGUGUUGAGCGCUACUCCUGGACCCAGAGUUCAUCACUAGUCUCGACUGCGGCCUUUACCGAAGCGUGUCCCCCCCCGGCUCAGGGAGACGGGGACAGGGAGAACUAGUCUCCGGGCCUCUGCUGCCUCCAGAGAGAGGGUGUCGUGUCGUGUGUGGGGCGUGCAGGUGUCUCAGCCCAGCAGGCCCAGGGAGCCUGGGCCAGGCCACGCCCACACGGGCUGCUGAAGGGGACUCAGGGACGGGUCACCCGAAACCUGCCCUCCGGGAGCUCUGUGUCCUGCGUCAGGGAUUUCCUCCAAGUUACAGACACCUGUCCUCUCACCUCCUGCCUCACUGGUCCCUGCUGCCCAGAGAGACCCUCCCCUCCCCGGACCUCCUUUGCCCUUGGACACUCCUUGAGGCUUCCAGGUCCUUACAGGGCACCCCGAGGGGUGGGCAUAGACCAUGACCAGGCAGAGAAGCAGCAGACAGAGAGCCGGAGACAGUGAAGGGACUGACAUGGAGGCUGGCGCCCGGGCCUGGGACAGUUGCCUGCUGGACAAGGACACCUUCCUGGAAAACUUCCACCUUGAGUGGUGGCCAAAUAAGGCCUACCUCUGCUACGAGACGGAGCUCCCCAGCGGUGACCCCGGGGUUCCUCUGGGCCAACACAAGGACAUCCUGUGCAAUAAGCAAAUGACACAACCCUUUCCUGCCUCCUCUGUGCUCGGCCUGCCCGGGGAGGUCAGCCGGGCUGCCGCACGGAGUUGUGCCGGCUGCAGCGGAUCCAGGCCUGGGAGCUGCUUUCUGUCCUGGAGAACAGACACGUGACCCUGCACCCCUUCGCCUCCCGCCUCUAUACCGAGGAAGGAUUUCAGAAUGGGUUGCGCCUCCUGCGGGGGGCCGGGGCCCGCAUCGCCAUCAUGACCUCCACGGAGUUUGAGCACUGCUGGGAACCCUUCAUGGACACCCAAGGAAGAGCCUUCGAGCCCCUGGACACGCUGGUCUCCCAGAGUCAGGACCUCGCUGAGACGCCACAGGUCACAUAAAGCCUGAAAGGUGGGCCUCAGUCCCGCUAAGAACUCAGGAGGCCUCUGUUGGACAGCAGAAUAAAACACUUCCUCCCAAGAAAUGUACACUUGCCCUUCACCGCAAUCCCCAGAUUGAUGUAAUGAAGCCAGCAGAAGGCAAUGAGCCCAGAGCAAAUAGUCUUAAAAAAAAAAAAAAAAAAAAAGAACUGAGUAGGUUUGCUUGUCAUUGAAAAUCUUCUGUUCCAAAUAUACAUCAUGAAGAUUGCACUCAGCGCUGUCAGAAGAGUUUUCAGAGUUUAGAGAAGUAAUUACUGUAAUUGAUUCUGGGCAACCCUUAUGGCCAGGGAUCUAGAGACCAAAAACCUCCUCCUACAAGCCAUCCUGUCAGCAGCACUGAAUGGAAGUGACAGCCACGCUCUGCAAGAGAAGAGGAAGGAGUCUACUGGAGAGGAACCUCCCCUCUGAGGUCAGGUGGGGGCGGGAGGCUCUCUAGUCCUCACCCCUCCUGACUGGCCUGCCCCGAGAGGAAGCCAGAAGGAGGGACUUCCAUGCCCAGAAGGCGAGCUCUGCCCCUUCCUGACACAGGGCACUCGGUGCACAGACAAGGGACUGGACGCACAGGGGACUGGGACCGGCACCCAGGCGGGAUCCCUCCCCCCCC